rnacentral:lncRNA from 1 species
UUUAAGCAAGUCGCGUCUCAGAUAUUACCUUAUCCUCUUCAUAGUACUGUUAAUGACUAGCAUUAGUGACACAUGCAUCUUCUUCUUUUUCUGUCAAACAUGAAACAACUCUUCUCAGGCUGUUCAGAUUCAUCCGAUCGAAACUUGCUUGCUUGGCCUGUAUUCCUCUUUAUUCUUCUCUUUCCGUUGCACGUUUCUAGAAGCCAUAACUUUUCUUUCCAUCUUCCAAAAAGUUUUUACUACUGGAUCGAAUCUAGGUUUCGGAUCAC